rnacentral:antisense_RNA from 1 species
CCUUUCCUCCCAACAAGCAAACGUGCACUGAAUUUAAGUGUAUACUUCGGUAAGCUUCGGCUUACGACGGGACCACCUUAUGUUAUUUCAUCAUGGUCUAAACUGAUAGCUGAACUAACUGAAUGUGCGAAAUACACAUGAAUCACAAUCGCGCGUUUCGUUUGACGUCUGGA